GGUUAUUAGUUUAGUGCAAGAGACAGAAGAAGGAUAUGGCAUUGUCAUUGCAAGUGAAUUGGAGUUUCAAGGUAAUCACUCGCAAUAAAGCUCCAUCAAAUGUUUCUGGGUGGAAAAAAGUGUGGUUGGAGACGAAGAAGGAUAUGGCAUUGGCAUUGCAGAUUUAUUUGAGGAGGUGGAAGGAUUUGGUUUGGGGUUUUGGACAGAGGACCAUUUGAGG